rnacentral:misc_RNA from 1 species
AGUAUUUGAUGCAAAAGGCCAGGUGGUUCCUACCUUCCUUUUCAUCAUUUGCUUUUGUGAGAUUUGAUUUGUUUAUGUAGAACACUCAAAAGGAAAGAGAAACAAAUCUCAGAUUUUCUAGUACCAAAAUAUGUAUUUAUAUUAUAAUUGUUAGUUCUACUAGUACUAGGAUUGGGAAUCCUAAAAUAAGAAAAUACUAACAAAUACUAAUUAGGAGUAUAAAAAACCAAUACUAACUAGGAAAUU